rnacentral:rRNA from 1 species
UCACUUAACGAUGGAUCUCUUGGCUCUUGGUAUGAUGAAGAACGCAGCGAAAUGCGAUACGUAAUGUGAAUUGCAGGAUUCAGUGAAUCAUCAAAUCUUUGAACGCACAUUGCGCCCUUGAUUCGUCUUGGGCAUGCAUAGUUCAGUCUUUGUAAACAAAACUCCAAUUUCUUUUUAGUAAAAUAGAAAGGAAUUAGGAAAACGUUUGUGAGAUGUCAAAAUCUCUCAAAUUUGUUUGAGUCGGUUCCGCGUUGGACCUCUUGACCUUGGGCAACUGUCUGGGGAAUUUAGUGUCUAUCACAACGAACUUCAAAUAAUUUGUUUAUCCCUUAAGCUGAUCUUAUGUAAAACUACCCGCUGAAUUUAAACAUAUUAUUAAGCGGAGGAAAAGAAAAUAACUAUGAUUCCCUUAGUAAUGGCGAACGAACAGGGAUCAGUUCAAGCCUUUAAUCCUUCCCCUUGGGGACAGGAGUUGUGGUCUACCCCUUGUUUAUCUGUACCGUCGUCCCGACUAGAUCUAGCGAGAUAUAGUGUCACAGAGGGUUUCAACCCCGUCUGUUGGGAUUGUGUGUACCUAAGAUAGCUUUGGUGUGAGUCGUGUUGCUUGGGACUGCAGCACUAAUUGGGAGGUAAUAUCCUUCUAAAACUAAAUAUUACCAGGAGACCGAUAGCGAACAAGUACCGUGAGGGAAAGAUGAAAAGGAAUUUGAAAAGAAUGUGAAAAGUACGUGAAAUCGUUAGGUGAAAGCGAAUAGCAUGCCUUUAAUAACGUGGGUUUUCUGGUUGCUACGCUUCUUUGUUCAUGCGUGCAUGUCACUGGAGUACACAAUUGGUUAACUGAGGAGAGAUUGUUCUUGUUCGUCUGUAGUCGUGAUUUUGAUUUCUUUUGCUUCCGCCACGGUGGGGUAAUUGAUUUUGGCUUCCUUCUGCUUUCGUUUGUUCAUCUUGACGUUAUUGGCGUUGUUAUCCGACCCGUCUUGAAACACGGACCAAGGAGUCUAACGUAUGUGCGAGUCCUCGAGUUGUAAACUCCUAGGCGUAGAGAAAUCGAUUGAAUGAUAACACUUAGUGUUCCUCAUCGGCUGUGACUGAUUCUUCGGAUGAAGAAUACUCGCUUGAGCAUGUAUGUUGGGACCCGAAAGAUGGUGAACUAUGCUUGAUCAGGUUGAAGCCAGGGGAAACCCUGGUGGAGGACCGUAGAGAUACUGACGUGCAAAUCGUUCUUCAGAAUUGAGUAUAGGGGCGAAAGACUAAUCGAACCAUCUAGUAGCUGGUUCCCUCCGAAGUUUCCCUCAGGAUAGCUGGAGUUCUUAGGAGCCACGUGAGGUAAAGCGAAUGAUUGGAGGACUUGGGUUUGAAACAUUCUCUGCCUACUCUCAAACUUUAAAUGUGCGUGAACAUCUGAUUGCUUAAUUGAAUCGGGUUGUAGGGUCUAGAAUUCUUAGUGGGCCAUUUUUGGUAAGCAGAACUGGCGAUGCGGGAUGCUCCGGAAGCUGGGUUAAGGUGCCUAACUAAUCGCUCAUUCAGAUACCAUGAAAGGUGUUGGUUGAUUUAGACAGCAGGACGGUGGUCAUGGAAGUUGAAAUCCGCUAAGGAGUGUGUAACAACUCACCUGCCGAAUCAAGUAGCCCUGAAAAUGGAUGGCGCUCAAGCGAUUGACCGAUACUCAGCCAUUUGUGCUUUUGUGAUGCAUAAAUGAGUAGGAGGGCGUGACGAUAGUGCCGAAGGUGUGGCGGUGACGUCCACUGAAGCUGUCGUUAGUGCAGAUCUUGGUGUUAGUAGCAAAUAUUCAAAUGAAAACUUUGAAGGCCGAAGUGGAGAAAGGUUUCACGUGAAGUUUAAUGCGACGUGAGUGACCCAGUCCUAAUCGUCUCCUGAAAUGGAAAGAUAGGUUGCUUUUUGCGCCAUCACGAGAAAGGGAAACCGGUUAAUAUUCCGGUGGUGCAACCACGAUGCUAAGCGGUGACGCUGUAGAACCGGGUGACGCCAGCGAGGUCCCUGGAAAGAGUUUUCUUUUCUUUUUAACAAAUUGACAGUGAAUGGAAUGGGAUUAUCCCGAGAUAUUCAGUGUUGUUUGGCAAAGCAGGUGACUUUCUCACCUGUCCGGUGCGAUCUCGAUGGUCCAUGAAAAGCCUGGGGAUUAUUUACAUCAGAGUUGUAGCUGUACUCAUAACCGCAUCAGGUCUCCAAGGUGAAUAGCCUCUGGUCGAUGUGAUAAUGUAGGUAAGGGAAGUCGGCAAAUUAGGUCUGUAACUUCGGGAAAAAGACUGGCUCUUAGGGCUGGGCGUAUGAGGCUCGAAAUUGAAGUCUCCUAUUUCCGUCGUCUGGCUAGCUCUUCGGGGCAGGCCGAAUGAUCGUGAUUUGGGUGAUGGAUUUUUCGGGAUGCUUCGGCGAUCUCUGCGUAUUUAACAGCUAACUGAGAACUGGCGCGGACAAGGGGAAUCCGACUGUUUAAUUAAAACAAAGCAUUGUGAUGGUCGGAAACGAUGUUGACACAAUGUGAUUUCUGCCCAGUGCUCUGAAUGUCAAAGUGAUGAAAUUCAAGCAAGCGCGGGUAAACGGCGGGAGUAACUAUGACUCUCUUAAGGUAGCCAAAUGCCUCGUCAUCUAAUUAGUGACGCGCAUGAAUGGAUUAACGAGAUUCCCACUGUCCCUAUCUACUAUCUAGCGAA